CACCUCGGGAGCUGGCGCCCGCGCCAAGUAGGUCACCUGGGAGCGGAGCUCGGAGUAGAGAUCCGCCAGGUCACCAAAUAGGCUGGCAUCGGGCCA
rnacentral:SRP_RNA from 14 species